rnacentral:rRNA from 1 species
UAAUACGGAGGAUCCAAGCGUUAUCCGGAUUUAUUGGGUUUAAAGGGUGCGUAGGCGGCCUGUUAAGUCAGGGGUGAAAGACGGUAGCUCAACUAUCGCAGUGCCCUUGAUACUGAUGGGCUUGAAUGUACUAGAGGUAGGCGGAAUGUGACAAGUAGCGGUGAAAUGCAUAGAUAUGUCACAGAACACCAAUUGCGAAGGCAGCUUACUAUGGUAUGAUUGACGCUGAGGCACGAAAGCGUGGGGAUCAAACAGGAUUAGAUACCCUGGUAGUCCACGCCCUAAACGAUGAAUACUCGAUGUUAGCGAUAUACAGUUAGCGUCAAAGCGAAAGCGUUAAGUAUUCCACCUGGGGAGUACGCCCGCAAGGGUG